rfam:Danio rerio chromosome 4, GRCz11 reference primary assembly.
GCAUUGGUGGUUCAGUGGUAGAAUUCUCGCCUGCCACGCGGUAGACCUAAAGUCAAUUCCUGGCUAAUACA